rnacentral:rRNA from 1 species
UACAUGUGGGGCAAGCGUUGUUCGGAAUUACUGGGCAUAAAGGGUGCGUAGGCGGUUUGUUAAGUCACAGGUGAAAGUUUUCGGCCCAACCGGAAAAUUGCCUGCGAUACUGGCGAACUUGAGUGCGUGAGGGGUUGGGGGAACGAGCAGUGUAGCGGUGAAAUGCGUAGAUAUUGCUCGGAAGGCCGGAGCCGAGGGGGCCCAACUGGUGCGCAACUGACGCUCAUGUGCGAAAGCGUGGGGAGCGAACGGG